CUGUGUGUUGUUGGGUAGGGGAGCGUUCUGUAAGCCUGUGAAGGUGUGCUGUGAGGCAUGCUGGAGGUAUCAGAAGUGCGAAUGCUGACAUAAGUAACGAUAAAGCGGGUGAAAAGCCCGCUCGCCGGAAGACCAAGGGUUCCUGUCCAACGUUAAUCGGGGCAGGGUGAGUCGACCCCUAAGGCGAGGCCGAAAGGCGUAGUCGAUGGGAAACAGGUUAAUAUUCCUGUACUUGGUGUUACUGCGAAGGGGGGACGGAGAAGGCUAUGUUGGCCGGGCGACGGUUGUCCCGGUUUAAGCGUGUAGGCUGGUUUUCCAGGCAAAUCCGGAAAACUAAGGCUGAGGCGUGAUGACGAGGCACUACGGUGCUGAAGCAACAAAUGCCCUGCUUCCAGGAAAAGCCUCUAAGCAUCAGGUAACAUUAAAUCGUACCCCAAACCGACACAGGUGGUCAGGUAGAGAAUACCAAGGCGCUUGAGAGAACUCGGGUGAAGGAACUAGGCAAAAUGGUGCCGUAACUUCGGGAGAAGGCACGCUGAUAUGUAGGUGAAGUCCCUCGCGGAUGGAGCUGAAAUCAGUCGAAGAUACCAGCUGGCUGCAACUGUUUAUUAAAAACACAGCACUGUGCAAACACGAAAGUGGACGUAUACGGUGUGACGCCUGCCCGGUGCCGGAAGGUUAAUUGAUGGGGUUAGCGGUAACGCGAAGCUCUUGAUCGAAGCCCCGGUAAACGGCGGCCGUAACUAUAACGGUCCUAAGGUAGCGAAAUUCCUUGUCGGGUAAGUUCCGACCUGCACGAAUGGCGUAAUGAUGGCCAGGCUGUCUCCACCCGAGACUCAGUGAAAUUGAACUCGCUGUGAAGAUGCAGUGUACCCGCGGCAAGACGGAAAGACCCCGUGAACCUUUACUAUAGCUUGACACUGAACAUUGAGCCUUGAUGUGUAGGAUAGGUGGGAGGCUUUGAAGUGUGGACGCCAGUCUGCAUGGAGCCGGCCUUGAAAUACCACCCUUUAAUGUUUGAUGUUCUAACGUUGGCCCCUGAUCGGGGUUGCGGACAGUGUCUGGUGGGUAGUUUGACUGGGGCGGUCUCCUCCUAAAGAGUAACGGAGGAGCACGAAGGUUGGCUAAUCCUGGUCGGACAUCAGGAGGUUAGUGCAAUGGCAUAAGCCAGCUUGACUGCGAGCGUGACGGCGCGAGCAGGUGCGAAAGCAGGUCAUAGUGAUCCGGUGGUUCUGAAUGGAAGGGCCAUCGCUCAACGGAUAAAAGGUACUCCGGGGAUAACAGGCUGAUACCGCCCAAGAGUUCAUAUCGACGGCGGUGUUUGGCACCUCGAUGUCGGCUCAUCACAUCCUGGGGCUGAAGUAGGUCCCAAGGGUAUGGCUGUUCGCCAUUUAAAGUGGUACGCGAGCUGGGUUUAGAACGUCGUGAGACAGUUCGGUCCCUAUCUGCCGUGGGCGCUGGAGAACUGAGGGGGGCUGCUCCUAGUACGAGAGGACCGGAGUGGACGCAUCACUGGUGUUCGGGUUGUCAUGCCAAUGGCACUGCCCGGUAGCUAAAUGCGGAAGAGAUAAGUGCUGAAAGCAUCUAAGCACGAAACUUGCCCCGAGAUG
rnacentral:rRNA from 1 species